rnacentral:lncRNA from 1 species
CAAACUCCUGACCUCAAAUGACCCACCUCUGCCUCCCAAAGUGCUGGGAUUCCAGGUGUGAGCCACCGCGCCAGGACCCAAGGCCCUUAAGUUUUAACGCCUCAUUCUUCAGUCAGGUUUUCCUUGCUCCCGCGUGUUCAGCCAAUUGGUUUCAAGUUUGUGUUGAAGGAGAAACUAACAAUGAAAACGGAGUCGUUGAUGGAAGAAAAGUUGGAAUGCAGCCUCUGGUGCUGUUUGAGUGAUCCCUCUCCCCAGGGGCUGGCUGCGCACUGCUGUGUUCUGGAAAGGCGCAUUGUAUGGUAGAUGCCGCAGGACUGGAUCUCAUUUAUCUUUCUGGGAAUAGCGCCAUCUCUAAGGACUCCAGGUUAACCCACUUCAUAUCUAAUCAUUCCAGUCUAGAUACUAAAUAUUGCAGUGUCAGUCAACAUUCCCAGGGCCAGAUCUUACCUCAUACCUCAGGUUCAUAACUUUCUUGACUAUAUUGGGUUUUGUCCUACUUUCCUCAUUCUUGGCCAUGUGUAUUUUGUCCUAUCCUGGGAACAAGGAGAGGAGUGAAGAGCUUUCUCUUCCAUUUCAUUAUUAACCCUGCUCCCACAUUCUUCCCAGAAAGCCAGGAAAUACAAUGCCAAUGUUCUGCAUUGAGUUUAUAUUUCAUGUAUAAUUAACUUUUGUGUUGAACAUGAAUAAACUGAAAAUUUCUUGAAAUAGAAACAAUUUGAUAGAAUUUUGUGGGUACAGUGUAUACAAUCCAUGUCGAAUACAUUACUGACAUCUAAACUUGUUAUAGAUUUUUUGUUCCAUCAUGUACUAAUUCAGUAAUUCUAUUGCAAUAAAACUAACAUUUGUUUGUUGGUUAUAAUUCAUUCUUGGUAAGGCUUUUUCUGUGUUUUGCUUAUGCUUCCAUUAUCUCCUAGAUGAGCACUUUCGUGUAUCUAAUUUAGAAGCAUUACAUUAAGAACAGUAAGAGAAAAUCCUUUAAUCUAUAUUUCCGCUUAAAAUAAGAUUAUAAUAACAUGUGCUCCACCAGAUAUAGAUGUUCACAAAACAUAAGCAAGUGUGAAUAUUUCUUAUAACCACUUCUGAAGAAAUAGAAGGGCUCCUAUUACAUGCGCUGUAGCAAAUUAUAAAGUCAUAAACACAUACUCUUCAAAGUAGCAAUAGGCAAAUCAGGGAGAGAGAGACAGAGAGAGAGGGAGCACAGUGUUGCUCCCAGAAGACAAUGAAUUUAUUGCUACCACUGAAGAAAUUUUUGGAAAGGCUGAAGCUUUUUGCUAACAUGUACAAUAACAACUGCAAAAGGAAUAGGACCUGCAAUCUUCAGUUGAAUCAGUCUGUUUAUAAUCUCAUUUAAGAUUGGUAGAGACAAACAUAGGUCAUGGCUUUCUCAUCACUCGUUAAUUCACUCACUCAUUCAAAACACAAAUAGAUGCACGCUAUGCUAGACACUGGGGAUACAAAUGGUUACAACAAUCCCUGAAGUUUCUCAAAGCCAGUGGGAGAAAUAGGCAUAUAAACAACUAAUAUCAUGCACUCUCCUAUUGGACACUUGAAGACUGCCUAAUGGACUGUGGGACUACAAUAUAAGAUACUGUCAAUUUGUCCUAAGAAGGUCACUCAUGGGGAAGUGAAGACUGAAUUCCAUCGCAAAGGAAUAGUCAAAUUUUCCAGGCCAACAGGGAAAAUGCUAUUCCAGAUGGCAGGAACAUUGUGAACAAAGUUAAGGAUCAAGGAAAAAAUAUAAGUAUGAAGAGAUGACAGUAGAGCCACAUUGUUCAGUACGAAGGGUGGAGUAUUUGGUGGAGAGAAAUGAGAAUUAGGAGGGAGAGAUGGACAGGGUCAGAUCAAAAAAGGUCAUGGUCAACCUAAAACUAAGGAGCUUAGAAUUCAUCAUGAGACAAGUAGGAGUCAUUCAAAGAUGUUAUAAGGUGCAACAUGAUGAGAUUUGCAUUUCAGAAGCGCAGCGCUGAUAGUGGUGCAGAGGCUGGAUUACAGGUGGGAAUGGAGGAGCUAUGGUGGAGGCCAGGGUAGGAGAGAAAGGAGUGUGAGGAGUGGUGGGGUGAGUGGGGUGGGGAUGGAUUUCCUAAAAAGGUGAUAGAGGAAGGGAGAUUGGCUUGGGGCAUUCAGAGGCAAAAACAGAAGGAAAAAAAAUCUAAAAGGAAGGAGCAGUGAUAGGCCUGUGUGCCAAUUUGAAUAAUACUGCAAUUGUUUAUUGAGAGAUCAUGAUGUACAAAACAUGCUAUUUUAAUACUCACUGCAAUUAAUUUUGGAAAUUUUUUCACAUUUUAUCAAUUGAUAUCCAGAGGAGUUAAAUCACUUACUGAAGGCCAUGCCAAUUUCAAGUUAAGGGAUGAGAUUAAAACUAAAUGCUACUAGAUACAGAGCUGGUGUCCUCUCAACUAUAUUCUUUGGCCCUCUUAACUGGAUCAGCAACGGGGGAGAGGGCAGAGACUAGAAUAGCUCCUCACAGUUCUCUGGAUCUGCUUGGAUGCUGACCAGUUUGGAGGAAGAAGAUGAAUUAAAUGGAGGUAGCUGAGGGAUAUCCAGGUGCAAAAGAUAAAUAAGCAGUUGGAUACAUGAGUCUGAAGAAGGUUCCUGGUGACACUGGUUGGUAGAUAGACUGAGAGCUGAAAUUCACCUGCAGUAAUUGUUACUCUGUGUCUUCCUGUUGUAUUUAUGGGUCAGCUCAAUAUAUCUUUUCCUCUAUCUUUUAAAGUUAGAAUUUACAAUACCUACCUAAUAGUUACUUCCUGAAGGGUAAAAAUCUUUUGUAUUAGUUUUUCUUUGGUCAUCUAUUUAUUAAUGCUAUCCUCAACAAAUAUGUAUUCAUUAACCAUUGGGUGCAUUGUGCAAAUUACACCACACUAUUUGAUGGAAAGAACGAGGUCUCUUCUUGCUAAAUAGUUCUAGUCAUCUCCCUUUUAUAGUUUCCUUUACUUUGUCUUAAGAGCAAAUUAUUUUUCUAUUCAUUAUUCAUCUUAUUACAUGUUCUUUUUGCUUCACUUUAAUCCUUUCUUGCAGGAGAAAGAUUAUAAAUAAAAACAUCUAUAUAUAACUAUAAAGCUUACACUCUCAUAGCUGGCACAGAGUUUGUGCAAAAGCAAAAAGAUGAACACUUUAGCUCUUUUGUAGGUAUGAUUUUUGAGUUGAGAUGGCAGGAAAAUUAAGUGGGAUUUUGAUAUAAGAGUAACAAAAGGAAGCCUCUAGGGAGAAAACAGAUAAUACAUUGAGAAUAAAUAGAAAUUAUGUCUCACGCUGGCUCUGCCACAGCAAUUCCUCUCCCUUCCCCAUAAUUAAUUAUUAUCUGGUUUAACUGAGAAAAUAUGAGACAAUCUCAAAUUUCCUCAGAGCUAGAAUACAAUGUACCAUUUUAUUAGCCCUAGAACAACAUGAACAGAAGCUUUAGUGGUAGCGUUACUGUCUAUGCUGAGGUUUGUUAGCAAUGCAUUAUUACCUAAGAGAUGGCUGCUUAGUUCAGACAGUUAACUGGAGGUCACUAAAAUGUUCUGCUCUUGAAAGAGAAAGAGGGGGACAAAACAUUGGGGAGAGAGAGAGAGAGAGAGAGAGUGAAUGUUCCUUCUUCACAGAGCAAUUUGUGUAAAUGCAUGGUCCAAUGGCCCUGAUAUCCAUUAAUUAAAUUUCUAGACUUCAUAGCAUUCGCUGAUGAAUCAUGAUGAAAAAAGUUGGAAGGGAAUAGGAAACACAUACGCUGCAGCAUCCGGUUUCGCCAGAGUUGGGCCCUUGAGAAUUAUUAAGUGAUACUUUGACAUAAUUCAGAAUUAACAAAAUCUGCCUGCUCUCUAAAAGUGUGUCUUUUCAUAAUUUAAGUAAGUCAUGCAAAUUAGCUUAGAUCUAAAUGUGAGCUCCAUUGUUGCCUGCAAGUCAGCAUGACUUCAUGAUUGGUGAUAUAAUAGUAUCAUCACCCCAGGGAAGGAUAUUUCUGUGAAAUUAAGUGAUAUAGUUCUAUCUGAGUAGGAAUAUUGUACCUGAAAAAUCCUGCUAAUAAAUAUAGGUCUUAUUUUGAUAUUUUGGAAUUUUAUAGGGAAUUAAAUAUAAUAAAAUCAUGCAUCCGACUGAGGUCAGACAUCUGAGAAAAACAGGUCAGUCAAAUCCUGAUUCCUGUGAAAUUUACCAAGGGGCUUUUAAAAUGGCCAAACGUUAAAGUACCUAGCACGAUGCUUGAAAUAUAAUCUGUGGAAAUACACUAAACUAAAAUGACCUUGUCCAGUCUCAUGGCUUCAAAUACCAGCCCCAUGCUAAUGAUCAAAUUUUCUAUGCAUUCAAAACUCCUGAACUCAGAUUUAGAUAUCUAACAUCUCUGCUGGUUUCUUCACCUUACUGUUUCCCACAACAAACUUCUUUCUUUUCUUAAUCCAUUUCCCCCCACCUUUUCCAUUAUAUUCAACCUAAUUAAAUAGGGAUGUUUGGCUCAGGCUAUGAAAUUUGACUCACAUUCCAUGUCAAAUUCAUCACCAAAUCCUGUCAACUCUACUUCAAAGAUAUUUUCAAAAUACGACCACCUCUUACCAGUACCACUCUAGUUCAAAUCAUCCUAUCUCUUUCCUAGGUGACUGCAAUAACAUCUCACUACCUAAAUCUACCCUUUGUCCUAUAGUCAAUUCUUAUCUCAGCAGACAGCAGACUAUUAAAGCUGUGAACCAUAUCAGCCUCCAUUUCAAGUGUCUUCAGUGGCUUCCAUUUCACCUCCAGUAAAAUAGAAAUCUCCACAAUGACAUCUAAGACUCUCCAUGGUUGGUCCCCUUCUUGCCUUACAACUAAAAACUCUUCUACCAUUUCCACUCUAUUUACUCUGCUGUAGCAGGGAGACCUAUUUGCUGUCCCUUAAACAAAGCAGAUGUCUUUCUCCUCUGGUCUUUGCAUUUGCUGGUCCUAUUACUGGGAGUGUUCUUUUUCCCAUCCUCUUGAUGACUUCCCUCAUCUCCUUCAAGUCCUCGAUGGAAUGUUCUUACACAGUGAGGACUUCCCUGGCAACCAUAUUUAAAACAGAAUCUUCAGUCCCAUGUCCAGCACUCUUUAUGCACCGUCCCUGUUUUAUAAUAGUUUGAGAAAAUGAGUAAGUGUUUUGGGGACACAGCACUUACUAUCAUCUGACAUCAUGAGGCAUAAAACUGUAUUUCUUACUUAUUUUAUGUAUUUGUUUGCCUUCCAUCAUAACUAAGCAUUUAGUAGAGAUUGUCUAUUUUAUUCACAAUGGUAUUCCUAAUUCCUUAAAAGUGUUUGGUAUAAAACAAACAUACUUUGAGCAUUUGUUGAAUAAAGGAAUUAUAUGUAAAAUUAUGGUCAGGCAUUAUUCGAGGGGAAAACUCUUAGUGUCUAAACAAAUUUAUUUGGAUACCUGGUAAAUUAUACUAUAACUAAUUUGGGAAAUAAAUUUGUUCCUCUUAUGUCAAUUGAGGGAAGCUUUGGCAAGAGCAUUCUGCUUCAUCUCCAAGUCUUUUUCUUCAAAGCCUAUUGUUAUUUUUUUCAAAUCUGACAACCCUAUGAGACCCACCCAGCUGAAGAUUAGCUGGGAUGCCCAGUUCCUGUUCUCACUGUGGGGCACCAGAUUUUCUGGGCAAGCAGUGUGAGUAGAUAAAGCAAUGAGAUGGGGUGAGGUUACAGGCAUCAGCCCAUUCUAGGCUUUGCUCUUCAACACAUACUGUCCUCCUGAGCCAGGACGCAGACCAUGGCUACUUUUGCCCCUGCAUGUCUGUUCUGAUUUCUUUCUUCAUAUGGGAUGUCUCACUAUUCUUCUGCUUUGAAUAUGGAGCUUCAGUCUCUAAGCUAAAAGGCCAAGUACAGAUUCACCUGCCAAUGAAGCUCUUUAAAUUCUCUCUUCUUUCUCAGGACUCAUUGGCUGUAAGUCCAUGGAGCAAAAACAGAAUUUGCUACUUUUCAAUGACAUUGUUUUAGUUGAGUUGUGUUUAACUAACUUGUUGAAUGAACGGACACUGUACAUUCUCCCUGUAAAAUAACAGUGUGUUUUCUAUUAUGCCUAUGUAAGUCUGUUGCCUCAAAUUGACGUUAUGUUGUUAACUUAUCUACCAGACAGUUUAUUUAGGUUGUAUUCAAGUUGGUCUUUUGUGACAUAAAUAAAAUCAGGGAUGUGAUUA